UUUACACUCGGAUGUACUUUUUAUUUUUGUUCUUUCUAGGCUUUCCUUGCAAGGAGAGGAAAAUAGGAAAAAGUAGGGACUAUUCUUCUCAACUGCUUACAAAUACAUGUUCCCAUCUUAGUAUUCUCGUCCAACACAAAAUAAAACAUACGUUUAAAGAGACUUAUGAUGGCCUCUACAAAGGUACUUAACAUUAUUUGCAUCCUUGGUUUUGCAAUUGCUCUUCUAUUAUUUUCCAAUGAGGCAUCAGCUCGACACCUAGUUGCGUCUAACUCAACCCAAAACACAUGGAAGAAGUCUUUGUCAACCAGUUUAGCUUCGGAUCACCCUCCGCAACAACCAACUCCUACUCCUGCGGUAGUUGUAACCGGAAAGAGAACUAAAAUUAAGUGUUGUAAGAAAAAGUGUAAGUAAAUUUACGAUGACUCCACAAGGUCACAGUGUAACACAAUAUGAUCAUUUACAUCACUUCCUUUUGUAACUCAUUCAAGUAUUGAACGUAUAUAUAUUUGUAAAAGAAAUGGCUUUUUAAAAGUCUAAAACAAUUAGGAGGUUUUCUGUUUCGGAGUUUAUGUAAGAAAUGUACUCUUCCAAGUUCUAUGUACACAUAAUGUUGUAAUAUAACUAUAAGUAAGGUCAAUUACUCGUUUGAAACUUUGGAUGAAGAGGAGUUGUUUUA